rnacentral:snRNA from 1 species
AGAUGAGCUCAACGAGAACAGA